rnacentral:rRNA from 1 species
AACGAACGCUGGCGGCAGGCUUAACACAUGCAAGUCGAACGGGCGUAGCAAUACGUCAGUGGCAGACGGGUGAGUAACGCGUGGGAAUCUACCCAGUUCUACGGAACAACUCAGGGAAACUUGAGCUAAUACCGUAUACGCCCCCCUUUGGAGACAUUGGGGGGGAAAGAUUUAUCGGAAUUGGAUGAGCCCGCGUUGGAUUAGCUAGUUGGUGGGGUAAUGGCCCACCAAGGCGACGAUCCAUAGCUGGUCUGAGAGGAUGAUCCGCCACACUGGGACUGAGACACGUCCCAGACUCCUACGGGAGGCAGCAGUGGGGAAUAUUGGACAAUGGGGGCAACCCUGAUCCAGCCAUGCCGCGUGAGUGAUGAAGGCCUUAGGGUUGUAAAGCUCUUUCACCGGGGAAGAUAAUGACGGUACCCGGAGAAGAAGCCCCGGCUAACUUCGUGCCAGCCGCCGCCGUAAAAC